AACGAACGCUGGCGGCAGGCUUAACACAUGCAAGUCGAACGGGUGCAGCAAUGCAUCAGUGGCAGACGGGUGAGUAACACGUGGGAACCUUCCUAGGGGUACGGAACAACUCAGGGAAACUUGAGCUAAUACCGUAUACGUCCGUGAGGAGAAAGAUUUAUCGCCCUUAGACGGGCCCGCGUCGGAUUAGCUAGUUGGUGGGGUAACGGCCUACCAAGGCGACGAUCCGUAGCUGAUCUUAGAGGAUGAUCAGCCACACUGGGACUGAGACACGGCCCAGACUCCUAUGGGAGGCAGCAGUGGGGAAUCUUGGACAAUGGGCGCAAGCCUGAUCCAGCCAUGCCGCGUGGGUGAAGAAGGUCUUCGGAUUGUAAAGCUCUUUUGCCAGGGACGAUAAUGACGGUACCUGGAGAAUAAGCCCCGGCAAACUUCGUGCCAGCAGCCGCCGUAAUAC
rnacentral:rRNA from 1 species